rnacentral:rRNA from 1 species
UACGGGGAGGGCAAGCGUUGUUCGGAAUUACUGGGCGUAAAGGGCUCGUAGGUGGCCAACUAAGUCAGACGUGAAAUCCCUCGGCUUAACCGGGGAACUGCGUCUGAUACUGGAUGGCUUGAGUUCGGGAGAGGGAUGCGGAAUUCCAGGUGUAGCGGUGAAAUGCGUAGAUAUCUGGAGGAACACCGGUGGCGAAGGCGGCAUCCUGGACCGACACUGACACUGAGGAGCGAAAGCCAGGGGAGCAAACGGG